rnacentral:rRNA from 1 species
GUGAGGAAUAUUGGUCAAUGGGCGCAAGCCUGAACCAGCCAUGCCGCGUGCAGGAAGACGGUCCUAUGGAUUGUAAACUGCUUUUAUUUGGGAAUAAACCUCCUUACGUGUAGGGAGCUGAAGGUACCAAAUGAAUAAGCACCGGCUAACUCCGUGCCAGCAGCCGCGGUAAUACGGAGGGUGCAAGCGUUAUCCGGAAUCAUUGGGUUUAAAGGGUCCGCAGGCGGUCAUAUAAGUCAGUGGUGAAAGCCUACAGCUCAACUGUAGAACUGCCAUUGAUACUGUAUGACUUGAAUUCGAUCGAAGUGGGCGGAAUGUGAAAUGUAGCGGUGAAAUGCUUAGAUAUGUCACAGAAAACCGAUAGCGAAGGCAGCUCACUAGGUCUGGAUUGACGCUCAGGGACGAAAGCGUGGGGAGCAAACAGGAUUAGAUACCCCGGUAGUCC